GACGAACGCUGGCGGCGUGCUUAACACAUGCAAGUCGAACGGAAAGGCCCUGCGUUUGUGGGGUGCUCGAGUGGCGAAAGGGUGAGUAACACGCGAGUAACCUGCCCUUGACUUAGGGAUAACUUCAGGAAACAGGGGCUCAUACAGGAUAGGAGAUCCUGCUGCAUGGUGGGGGUUGGAAAGUUUCGGCGGUGGGGGAUGGACUCGCGGCAUAUCAGCUUGUUGGUGGGGUAGUGGCUUACCAAGGCUUAGAAGGGUAGCCGGCCUGGGAGGGGGACCGGCCACAUUGCGUCUGAGGUACGGCCCAGACUCCUACGGGAGGCAACGGUGGGGAAUAUUGCACAAUGGGCGGAAGCCUGAUGUGACGACGCCGCGUGCGGGAUGACGGCCUUCGGGUUGUAAACCACUUUCGCCUGUGACGAAGCGUUAGUGACGGUAAUUGGUAAAGAAGCCCCGGCUAACUACGUG
rnacentral:rRNA from 1 species